CUAAGUUUGUGGUCAAAGGCUUGCACCCAUUUGCCACAGCAGAUGCCCCCGAUUUUCGGAAAACCUCAGGGUCAGUCCGGUUUAUGAUCACAUAAUCAUCGAGCAUUUCCGGACCUGCACUCUGCACUCGGAGCCCUGGACGUUACCCAGCCGCACAUUCUUAUGCACAACCGGCCGGGGCAAUGUGUCCUUCAGCGACCUGCCACUCCAUCAUCAAUCACCUCCCAAGGAGAGGCGUUCACAGGGAAGACUGAAUAAACGUCACUUUGUCAGUACGAACAACAGGACUCGCAAAACUUUUUAAAGGACGCUGCCUCACACCUCUGACAUCCACUUUUCAGGAUGAGCAAUUGCAGAUGCUACUCUGAAUUCUGAUACUGUCUCCGGCCUGAGCCGUGGUCCGCUCAGUCUGACGGCCUGCCUCUAAACACCUCAGGGCUAGACAAAUAAUGUUUGGUCAAAUAGACGGAAAAAAAAAAGAUCCUCUGCUUUCAGUAAAGAAAACAUUUGGAGAGUCUGCGAAGGAUAAAUCUGCUGUCAUAGCCACUGUCAUGAUCUCAAAAAUACCCGCUCCUCUCUCUGACACCUAUAAUCAACAAUAUGCUUGAAGCCAACAGAAGUGUGCUCGAAGAAUCUCGACCUUAUCAUUAAGGAAUCGUUUAUUUUCUGUAGCUGUUAUUGGAUUGUUACACUGGACUCUAGAUGUUGCAUAAAGAAUGUAAAUAGAGUAUUAUAAUGUCCAUAAUAGUUCCAAAUUAAGUGCAAUCUUUGUAUAAAAACAUUUACUCAUGAGUCUAAUCAGUAUGAGAAGGAUAUGCCAGCCUGGUCUCUUUCAGACAGACCCUCCGCACAGCAAGGCCUUCUGCGGUGGAAACACAUGAUGAAGUGGCAAAAGCUAGAUUUAGUGUCCUGACCAGAGAACAGUGAUGGGCUUUGUUUCUGCUUUGCUCCUGUGGGACCCAGUUUGGCUGAUGGCAGUAGGCCGGUGUCCAUAUGGGGGGGAUUCAGGCCAUCACCCACAAUACAGGAACCCUCCAUUAAAAGGACUCUAUCUGGCCUACAGGGGCAAGCAAAUCACAUCAAAAGAGACUUCUAUGGGGGAUUAAUAAAGUCGCUUAGUGUGCUAUAGAAAUUCCAUCAUUCAUCAACUAUGAUAACAAUAAUGAUAUAUAUGAGUCGAGCCCCUAGCUAGGAUUAGUAAGUUACAAGGAAAACAGUAUACUCUCAUCACAGAAUUGGACUGGGAAGCCUAAUAAUGCUCCCCCGUGACCUCGGAUGAAAAAGUUAAUGCUCAUUUAGUUCAGAGUGAAAUUACUAUUAAAGUGUUUCCUCAGACCUUGUCUCCGGAGCACCUAACUUUUCCCCAAGCGCCACUGUAUAACCACUGUGGUGAUUUUCAUGAAAAGUGCUACAUUUGAUUAACAUUCAACUGAUGCCUAAACCUAAAAAUAUGAGUGCAUCGAAUUUUCACGCUCUUCUUUUCUGCUCUACUUUUGCCAAAGAACAAGUGCACUAAAUUAAGAUUCUGGUAAUGUGAACACUAACAUACAUAUGACUUAUACAAAUAUCUUAUACAAAAACCCCAAAUCAUAUAUAGUUAUACAUUUGACAGUUCAAUUGAGUGUGUUUUUGUGUUUGUUAUGCACUUUAACUGUCAGUGCAAAUUUUUUAACUUUUUGGUGCAGCUGAGCGGCCGCUGAUUAUCGAUCAAGUUAUUGAAAUAAGGCACUAUAAAAGCAUUUAAAAUCUAGAAAAUACUGCAGCAGAGCAGGCAGCAACAUUGUGGGGCUAAGAACUGUUAGGGUGCCUGGGUCAUCGACCCAGUGUUUUGUGGUUUUGGUUCUUUGAUUUUGUUUAUUUCAUUAUAUUAUGGGUUAUAGGUUUAUUCUUAGUUUAGGUUUUCUGUGUGGGUUUUGUAUUAAUGUUCUGGUUUUCUGUCUGUGAUCCAUAGUUGCUGUCUCCCCUGUCUGCUGUGUCACCGUGUCAAGUCUGCGUCUCUGUGUUAUGUUUCCUGUUUUACUUUGAAAGUCCAUGUCUUAUGUUAAUGUGUCUGGUUUUGCUUCCUUUGUCUCGUUAGGCCUGAGUUGCCCCAGCUGUGUUUCCCUCCUGUUUCCCGUUCCCUGAUUGCUCCCUCUGUGUAUUUAAGCCCUGUGUUUCUCUGUGUCUGUGUUGCGAUCUACCCUUAUCCACCCUCGUCUUGCUGUGUGUUCUGGCUGCCUGCUUGUGUAAGUUUAUUUGGAAGUUUGUUGCUUUUUCAGUUCAGCAUUAAAGCUGUUUUUUGAGUUUA